rnacentral:tRNA from 1 species
GCUCCAGUGGCGCAAUUGGUUAGCGCACGGUACUUAUAUGUCAGUAUACGAGCUAUGCCGGGGUUGUGAGUUCGAGCCUCACCUGGAGCA